UUGAACGCUGGCGGCAGGCCUAACACAUGCAAGUCGCGAGGAUGAAGGGAGCUUGCUCCUGGAUUCAGCGGCGGACGGGUGAGUAAUGCCUAGGAAUCUGCCUGGAAGUGGGGGAUAACGUCCGGAAACGGGGGCUAAUACCGCAUACGUACUGAGGGAGAAAGUGGGGGAUCUUCGGACCUCACGCUAUAAGAUGUGCCUAGGUAGGAUUAGCUAGUUGGGGGGGUAAGGGCCUACCAAGGGGACGAUCCUUAACUGGUCUGAGAGGAUGGGCAGUCACACGGGAACUGAGACACGUCACAGACUCCUACACGAGGCAGCAGUCGGGAAUAUUAGACGAUGGACCAAUGCCUGAUCCAGCCAUGCCGCGGGUGUGAAGAUGGUCUUCUGCUUGUAGAGCACUUUAGGUUGUGAGGUAGUACAGUAAGUUUAUACCUUACUAUUUUGACGUUACCAACAGAAUAAGCACCGGCUAACUUCGUG
rnacentral:rRNA from 1 species